AGUGGACCCCGGCCCCAAACUUCCUCGGGGGAGCCCCCAUUGAGGAAUUCUCCGGCAAAUGGAAGAAAUUUCUGCCCAGACAACCCCGCUUGGAUGAAAAAAGGUUUUCGGAUCGUAAAACUCUGUUGUUAGAGAAGAACAAGGAUGAGAGUAACUGUUCAUCCCUUGACGGUAUCUAACCAGAAAGCCACGGCUAAUUACGUGCCAGCAGCCGCGGUAAUACGUAGGUGGCAAGCGUUGUCCGGAUUUAUUGGGCGUAAAGCGAGCGCAGGCGGUUUCUUAAGUCUGAUGUGAAAGCCCCCGGCUCAACCGGGGAGGGUCAUUGGAAACUGGGAGACUUGAGUGCAGAAGAGGAGAGUGGAAUUCCAUGUGUAGCGGUGAAAUGCGUAGAUAUAUGGAGGAACACCAGUGGCGAAGGCGGCUCUCUGGUCUGUAACUGACGCUGAGGCUCGAAAGCGUGGGGAGCAAACAGGAUUAGAUACCCUGGUAGUCCACGCCGUAAACGAUGAGUGCUAAGUGUUGGAGGGUUUCCGCCCUUCAGUGCUGCAGCUAACGCAUUAAGCACUCCGCCUGGGGAGUACGACCGCAAGGUUGAAACUCAAAGGAAUUGACGGGGGCCCGCACAAGCGGUGGAGCAUGUGGUUUAAUUCGAAGCAACGCGAAGAACCUUACCAGGUCUUGACAUCCUUUGACCACUCUAGAGAUAGAGCUUCCCCUUCGGGGGCAAAGUGACAGGUGGUGCAUGGUUGUCGUCAGCUCGUGUCGUGAGAUGUUGGGUUAAGUCCCGCAACGAGCGCAACCCUUAUUGUUAGUUGCCAUCAUUCAGUUGGGCACUCUAGCAAGACUGCCGGUGACAAACCGGAGGAAGGUGGGGAUGACGUCAAAUCAUCAUGCCCCUUAUGACCUGGGCUACACACGUGCUACAAUGGGAAGUACAACGAGUUGCGAAGUCGCGAGGCUAAGCUAAUCUCUUAAAGCUUCUCUCAGUUCGGAUUGCAGGCUGCAACUCGCCUGCAUGAAGCCGGAAUCGCUAGUAAUCGCGGAUCAGCA
rnacentral:rRNA from 1 species